rnacentral:rRNA from 1 species
UCGUGACAGAGGUUAGUUUUACCCUACUGAUGAAUGUCAUCGCAAUAGUAAUUGAACUUAGUACGAGAGGAACNGUUCAUUCNGAUAAUUGGUUUUUGCGGCUGUCUGAUCAGGCAANGCCGCGAAGCUACCAUCCGCUGGAUUAUGGCUGAACGCCUCUAAGUCAGAAUCCAUGCUAGAANGCGAUGAUUCNUGCCNCGCACANACUUAGUNGGNUAANAAUAANGCUNUUCGAGUCGCUGAACCAUAGCAGGCUGGCNACGGUNCGCUUAACGGAAAGGNUUUGUGUGCUUGCCGGNGGAUNGCAAUGUCAANAUGCGCGGGGAUAAAUCCUUUGCAUACGACUUAAAUGUACAACGGGGUAUUGUAAGCAG